GUUCGUUUUUAUUUAAUAAUAUAAUCAUAUUAGAAAUAUGCCGUUAUAUUCUCGAUGAUACACACAAAUUAAAAUGGGUUCAAGAAAAUCAAUCAAAGGCCCAAUUUAUUUUUUCAGGUCUUCAAGUUUUGUCCUCCAACUAACUGACUAUAAGUGUCUCAUUGCAAUAUCUAUCAAAAGAAACCAUACAAUGAUCAUGUGGUUAAAGUCUUCCGGCCAAACACAUAUUAUAAAUUAUGUGUCAAGGGUGUUGAAUGCAUCUUAACUGAGAAAUAGAUGCGUUUUCAAUUAUCUGUUAACAACAUAUUAUAAACAAUAUUUCUAAAUCAUUCAAAAUGACAUUUUAAAACAGUUUGAAGGUUACUAAAUAAAGAAAAAGAUAGCUUUA